AGGGCAUGGCGAGAGAUGUCCACCGGACGCUACAUACCAUUGUUCAGGAGCAGGUAUGAAUGGGCAUUGUGAAACAACUUUGGUUUAAUCCCUUGGAAAAUUUGAUACCAACUAUUUUUUCUUUCAAAUUUUCAGGAAGGCGUGAGUUCGUCAGAGUCAGAGGCUGUAGUAAAGAAACGUAACUGAAGGAGAAAUACCUCAGAGAUGUUUGGUAAUUGAUGAUGACGAAUUGGGAUUUCAAGUUUUCUUGGUACCGCUUAGAUAUUUAUUUGUUUAUUUUCCUUCUUUUCCUUCAUUUUCUUGCUUAUUAUAGUCAUUUUCUUUUUUG
rnacentral:lncRNA from 1 species